GUGUAAUACAGUCCACUUGGGAAUUAUGAUAAUCAGUUGUUAAAUCAAAACAAAUACUCAUCAUCUUAGGAUUGCACAUCGCUGAAUAAAAGUUAAUGGUGAUAUGAACGGUUAACAAAAAUAGUAUCGUUAUGUAGCUAUGGUACGUAUUCUUUAUUUGUUAAUACCAACAUAUCUAGCCAUAAUUGUAUUUUUAUCUCAUUUUGUUAACCAAUACAAAGCCCGUGUUCAUAUCACAUGACGGAUAGUUACAUUUGAAUUUUUAACGGUUUAUUACCCACCACAGUUCGCAGGAAGUUCCUGAAGUGGCUUUGUUUAAAACUUUCCAAACAAGCGUGCUAAUAUGUUGAAUAGACUUUGAACAUUACAGUUGUUUAAAAAACGAUUGUAAAUGGUCUAAAUGUUGAGUGUAGAAUGAGGUGAACUUUACUCAAAUAUAUAGGACUAUCAUAGCCAUAGGACGUAAAUUUAAAUGGUUAUAUUUCGAUCCUAUUUAUACAAAGUAUCAUCAGACACAUGAUACCAAGGUCUAUCUAUCCAGUUUUAAGCGAGCAACAUUUACAUUUUUUAAUCCCUGUCAACAUGUCUUCUCCACCCAGUGACCUCUAUGUCAAAGUCAAUUACAUUGUUUGCCAUUCGGUAAACUGCCGGCUCUGAUUGGUGCGGAGUUUUCCGACGACGGGAUAUCGGAAUGUUUCGGCUCUAUUUUUAGACACAACACGGCAGCCGACGCCAGAACGAUUAUGAUUCGAUGGUAAUAGAGAUAAUGUGCACCUGUUCGUAGAUUUUCCUUCGAUAACCUUCCUUAAUACUAAUUGGUCAGGAUUAAAGAAUUAACCAUUAAAAUUACCUCUUGUGUUAGACCGUAUCUUGGGUUCUCAGUUUUACUAUGUUUUAUUUUUUUAAAUUCUUAAAAUACAAAUAUCCGAAUGAACCACCCUGUCCCUGAACUUCAUAAUCAAAUACCAGCGCUGAGUUUACGUAGACGAGUGAAAGCUCAAUAUAUUACAGACAAGAAAAAAAGACUGGUCAAUUGUAGUUAACGACCCCCAUUUAUUUAAAAUAAAUAGUAAAAUGAGCAUUUUAGUAUACGACCCCAUUGGCAUGCAUUACCUUGCUGGCAGUGGUUCCACUGCCAGCAGGGUACAUUGGCAUAAACUAUACGAUCCCACCCCCCAAUAUUGAUAAUUUUAGUAGAAAAUACAAGCAAGGUGCUGAUUUUUAAAUCAAGAUUUCGUUUAAUAUCUUUUUUAUAUUUGGUGUUCCAAAAGAAACAGGUUCAGUUUUUGUCUUCAUGACACAAGUCGUCCAGAUAACUGGGAAACAUCACGACAUACGCCUUUCAUUGUGUUUGGUUUUACUUUACAUCGCAAUUUUGUCAUGAAGAGACAUUUUGUCGGUGCAAAACUGAUGACACUUCUCAUAAUGACUUUUAGCGCCGGAUUAGGCAUUGACAAAUUAGUCAAAGAUUCAGUUUAUGAUCAUACGGCGAAGACAAAAUUCUUCAGACUAAAACACUUCAACUUGAGCGAAUAUUGUUGGUCACUUCAAAACUGUUUCGCAUAUUAAUGGUAUAUAUUGAAUAGUCUUCCGAAUUUAUUUCAGACAAGCUGGGUAAUCAAAAUAAACGUUUUAGUCGUAAACUGUAAAGUCAUUGAAAUUUCUUUAAAAUGACAUAGAAUUAGAAAUAGACUAAAACUGUUUUAAAUAACAUGUAUAAAUAUAAAAAAACAAGCAAUUAUUAGUUUUCAUAUAAUUAUAGCCUAUAGGAGAGUCGUGUAAUCUAUCACUAUCAGCAUAAAUUUCAGUGUUAUUUUAGUAUUUUACAAUUGAUCCAAAAAGAUAGUUCCCAUUAUCGUUUUUUAACGUGCUUUGCCUUUUGUUUUCCUCCCAGAAUAUCUCGCAGUAUUAUAUGAAUUUUUCAGUAUUAUAUCCCAGAUGAUCUUGAUACGCGGAAAAGUACUGGCACUAGCUGCCAAAUAGAAAUCCAUUUUGUGAUUAAAACAACUGAAUAUCUCCUGUAAUAUACUUUAUUUCGAUUCCAUAUUUUUGUCAGAACUAUAGUUCUCAUAACAAAACAUAAUUACAAAAUUUCAACUAGUUUCAUAAAGAAUAACGAAAGAUAUAAUUGACUGAAUACAUCAAAAUGGAUUUCUAUUCGGACAACCCUUUCUGAACGCUGAUUGGCUAAAAUACGAACACGAGAUCACCUGCAUGGCCAUUGAAUUUGGUGUAUAAUUAUUUCUUUUCAGACAUGCCAUGUGCGUGUGCAGUCAUCAAUCAGAGAGUUAUACUCUUUCGCUUUUAUUGUGAUUUUCAGACUUUAAAUUGGACCAUAUAAUAUACAUGCGUGAUUUAUAAAUGUUUCACUUUCAGUUGGCAAGUCCUACAAUCGCAAUUGGUUUAUCAAGGAAAUAUGAACUUGAGGCACUUGACCGUCUUGACGGAAUCAACAAGGAUAGUGGCUCGUGCACUUGACUGACCUCGACUUAACUCCGCUUUCGUUCAGAAAGUGAAGGCUGUUCCACUGAUUGUAAUUGUAUAUCCACUGCGAAAGUCCUCUUUGGCUGAGUGUUUUAUUUUCAGUGUCAAUGGUAACGUUAAUUUGAACAUUUAUAUAUAAAUGAUGAGAUGCAACUGAUGAAUGUAAGGCAAAUACUGCAUGGACAACAAGCUUCAUUAGUAUUAGUAUUAGUAUUAGUUCUGAGUCGUCACUACACUCGUUUAUGCCGGAUUCUUUAAUUUACUUUCGCUGUAUUAGCCGACUUUUUUCGUUUCAAAAUCGAGCAGACAGCAUGCAUCUAGACUGAACUCAUGCAUGCAGCAUGUAGAUAGUUAACAACCUAUAUUUCUAUAACUAAAUUGGAAAAGGAAAUAAAACGUUAUCACAAGUAAGCAUAAAGUAUCAGUCGUAUGAAAAAAGAUAUACCCUCACUAUAAAGAUCAGUCGAUCAUUUCACUAUAUUAUUAUAUAUGGGUAGUGGGCAUGCAUGAUUAGAUUGAACCGCAGAAUACAUUUGAAUUGUUGCGGGAGGAUAUUCCGCUAUAUCGAGACGCCUCGCCGCGUGGCUAUAUACAUUCUAUGACAUGUACAUUAAUGUCAUUGAAACCAGCAUGCCACUGAUUAAAAUGUUGCGAUGAUAUCCUUUAUGUUCAGUUUUAAGUGGUACGAUCUUUUAAAACGCAUUUUCGCCGAAUUAACCGUGACUCAUUCAAUAUCAGCUCACUGGGAAGACAAACAGGAAAUCAUAGUACGCAGUGACAUGCAGUGUCUCACCCACGUGUAUGAGUGAGGGUAAAAUGGGUCAAGUAUUGUACAUCACGUAUGAAAUAUUGCCAGUUCCGAAAACAUAGGGAAAGCACGGACAAAGUGCUACAGAUCAUAUUUAUAUGCACCCAAAUAAUCAUAAAUUUUAAGAAGUUAAAAUCAUGUGAAAGAAUCAAGGGAAGCGUAGUAAUGUUUCGAAUAAUGUUUGUUUGACGUAAGUUUGUGAAAACCAUUACUGUCAUUCAAAAAAACUAUGAAUAUGCUGUGAUUAUAUUAGAUUGAUGAAUGGUGCGUAAAUAUUUAUAGGAUAUAAUAAUAUACUAAUAAUUUUCAUAAUCACCAUAGAUCCUGCUCUCAUUGAUAUACUAUAUAGGAUAUAUCUUAUCUAUAUAUCUUAUCUUACUGAGGUCAUUUACAAGAUAGGACGAAACUACUGUAGCUAGCCUAUAGAAUGAUUCAGAGUGCUUAUAAGACUUGUAUUUGAGUGUCGAUAGUUUGUUUAAGAUGAUUGUAAAAAAAAU
rnacentral:lncRNA from 1 species